GACGAACGCUGGCGGCGUGCUUAACACAUGCAAGUCGAGCGGUAAGGCUCCUUCGGGAGUACACGAGCGGCGAACGGGUGAGUAACACGUGAGCAAUCUGCCCUUCACUCGGGGAUAAGCUUCGGAAACGAGGUCUAAUACCCGAUACGACCAGCCUUCGCAUGAAGUGCUGGUGGAAAGUUUUGUCGGUGGAGGAUGUGCUCGCGGCCUAUCAGCUUGUUGGUGAGGUAACGGCUCACCAAGGCUUCGACGGGUAGCCGGCCUGAGAGGGCGACCGGCCACACUGGGACAGAGACACGGCCCAGACUCCUACGGGAGGCAGCAGUGGGGAAUAUUGGACAAUGGGCGAAAGCCUGAUCCAGCAACGCCGCGUGAGGGAUGACGGCCUUCGGGUUGUAAACCUCUUUCAGUACCGACGAAGCGCUCCUAGGAGUGGUGACGGUAGGUACAGAAGAAGGACCGGCCAACUACGUGCCAGCAGCCGCGGUAAUACGUAGGGUCCGAGCGUUGUCCGGAAUUAUUGGGCGUAAAGGGCUCGUAGGCGGUCUGUUGCGUCGGGAGUGAAAACCCAGGGCUUAACCCUGGGCCUGCUUUCGAUACGGGCAGACUAGAGGUAUUCAGGGGAGAACGGAAUUCCUGGUGUAGCGGUGAAAUGCGCAGAUAUCAGGAGGAACACCGGUGGCGAAGGCGGUUCUCUGGGAAUAUCCUGACGCUGAGGAGCGAAAGUGUGGGGAGCGAACAGGAUUAGAUACCCUGGUAGUCCACACCGUAAAC
rnacentral:rRNA from 1 species